UUAACGCUAGCGGCAGGCCUAAUACAUGCAAGUCGAACGGUAACAGGUCCAGCAAUGGAUGCUGACGAGUGGCGCACGGGUGCGUAACACGUAUGCAAUCUACCCUUAACUGGGGGAUAGCCCCGAGAAAUCGGGAUUAAUACCCCAUAAUAUUAUGAUGAAGCAUUUCAUUAUAAUUAAAGCUCCGGCGGUUUUGGAUGAGCAUGCGCGACAUUAGCUAGUUGGUGAGGUAACGGCUCACCAAGGCUUCGAUGUCUAGGGGGUCUGAGAGGAUUCACCCCCACACUGGUACUGAGACACGGACCAGACUCCUACGGGAGGCAGCAGUAAGGAAUAUUGGUCAAUGGACGCAAGUCUGAACCAGCCAUGCCGCGUGAAGGAAGACGGCCCUACGGGUUGUAAACUUCUUUUGUACAGGAAAAAACCACCGGUCGUGAAUCGGUGCUGAUGGUACUGUAAGAAUAAGGAUCGGCUAACUCCGU
rnacentral:rRNA from 1 species